CGGAACGCUUAUACUGUUUCUGUUCCUGAUUGCUACGCUGGUUAGGUCGAACAGCCUUGUUGGUUUGGCGGUUAGAAAGUCUAUUCUCGGCGACGCGGUGGUCCGACUCGGCGACAAUCUGAAUGACGUCACACGAAGAAUCACGAACGGCAUCGCCAAAGCCACGUCGAGAUACGAAAGCAGGGACCGAACGAAGCGGAGCAUAAACUACCGAACAGCGAGACGAUAAAGGAGGAAAUCCUGUGUUUUUUCUGUGGAUAAUAACCCUUAUCUCCCGUCCAUGGGCAGUUCCGUGAUGGGUCGUUGUUUUUCUUAAUGUUUUCUUUUUCUUUUUUGUUUUUUUUCCUUUUUUAUUGUUAUUUUGUUGAAAAGCUUGGUGUGCAGUUUAGUGAUUUGCUUUGUUUUGUUACUAAUGGACAUUUUGUUGAACUAUAUGUUAUUUGUUUUUUUGUUAUAAACGUAUUUAAUAAAUAUCUAU